rnacentral:rRNA from 1 species
AACCAGACUCCUACGGGAGGCAGCAGUGGGGAAUAUUGCACAAUGGGGGAAACCCUGAUGCAGCGACGCCGCGUGAGUGAAGAAGUAAUUCGUUAUGUAAAGCUCUAUCAGCAGGGAAGAAAAUGACGGUACCUGAAGAAGAAGCCCCGGCUAACUACGUGCCAGCAGCCGCGGUAAUACGUAGGGGGCAAGCGUUAUCCGGAUUUACUGGGUGUAAAGGGGGCGCAGACGGCGAUGCAAGCCAGGAGUGAAAGCCCGGGGCCCAACCCCGGGACUGCUGUUGGAACUGCGUGGCUGGAGUGCAGGAGGGGGAGGCGGAAUUCCUGGUGUAGCGGUGAAAUGCGUAGAUAUCAGGAGGAGCACCGGUGGCGAAGGCGGCCUGCUGGUCUGCAACUGACGUUGAGGCCCGAAAGCGUGGGGAGCAAACAGGAUUAGAUACCCUUGUAAAC